rnacentral:piRNA from 1 species
UCUCAUGUUUAUGAGGCCUUGAGUUCC